AGAAGAAGAAGAAGAGGCGGCAGAAGAAGAGGAUCGUGCUAAGAAGAGGAAACCGGUGAAGAAAGCUUCAGCAAAGGUGACUGAAGUUAGUAUGAUGACUCGGGGGAGAAAGAGAAAAGAGAACAAUGACGAAGUGUGUGCUAAGAACAAAAGACCUUUCAAGAAAACGGCUGGAAAGUCUAAGUAGACAGACAAGGGGGACAAAGAAAAGAUGACAAUGAGGCCACUUUCUGUUUGCCAUUAUUCUAUCGAAUUGUUGGUCACAAGUGUUAUACAUUCAGUUUUUUACUACGGAAUUUAUCAUCAGAGUUAUAUUUGUACUUUGAAUGAGAUGUACAUGCACGCUACAUUUUCCCGUUUAUGAGAUUGGAAUUUAAAAGAUGCAUCAGUGUUGACUCUUGUUGUUAUCGUACUGCAUGACUACCCCAUCUUCUCUUUGUGUUUGUGUGAAUGAACAUACUUGCAGUUUCUCUCGUGCUAAUCCUUCUCACAGCGGUCAUGCAUGGCCGUGCCAGUCGUACGUUAUACAUGGAAUUGAUUGAUCAUGUUUCCAUAAUUGAUCUGAAUGUUCGGACGCUUUCUGAUGGACCAUAAGCGCAUCAUGAGUCAGUAAGAGCAAGAAAACCACCAUGAACUAGUACAUUCAUUCAGUUCAACAUUAAUGAUCUGUAGGUGAAAUCUAGUCUUACAAAGUGGGGAUUAAAAUUCUAGCAACAUAUAUUAUCAUCAUGAACCAAAAAAGUAUUGAGUAUCUCCUACAUUUGUAUCUCUCUUCUUGUAAUUUCUUUGCGAGUAUUAUGUCAUUCGACGUGUCCUUCUCGCCUGUAGUAGGCAACUCUGACGCUAGAGCAUAUAGUUUGGUCUCUAAUUCUGAUAUUUGUUGAUCAUUCUCCUUCAGAAGCAAGGCCGCAGUAGCCAAUGCAUCUUCAUGACAAUUGUCCAUUGCCGUUGUGCAGUAAUUGACCAUCUGUUCAGCGUAGUUGUUGAGGAGGUCUUCCCGAAUGAACAACUUGCAACCCAGCUGCGUACAUUAAUAACAUGGGGAGAAGUAUACGUCAAUAAUAAAACACUAGGAAAUUCGUUCGCAACAGUGCAUGAGCGUGACAACAGACCUCAUGCAUGUUGCA